GUUUCACUGGGGCAGCACAUGUACCAACACUGAAUAAUAGAGAGAUGGUUAGGAUGGACCAUGUGCAAGGGUGAUACACAAACUUGUGAAGCAUCCCAUAUUUUU
ensembl:snRNA U6 U6 spliceosomal RNA